rnacentral:rRNA from 1 species
AGAGUUUGAUUAUGGCUCAGGAUGAACGCUGGCGGCGUGCCUAACACAUGCAAGUCGAACGAAGCACAUACGACGGAACUCUUCGGAGGGAAGAUGUAUGUGACUGAGUGGCGGACGGGUGAGUAACGCGUGGGUAACCUGCCCUAUACAGGGGGACAACAGUUGGAAACGACUGCUAAUACCGCAUAAGCGCACAGUACCGCAUGGUACAGAGCGAAAAACUCCGGUGGUAUAGGAUGGGCCCGCGUCUGAUUAGUUAGUUGGCGGUGUAACGGACCACCAAGACGACGAUCAGUAGCCGGCUUGAGAGAGUGAACGGCCACAUUGGGACUGAGACACGGCCCAA